UAGAAAUCAGUACAUAAGUUUGAUGAGAUAUUGUAAUACACAGGCAAUAUACAUAAGGAUAUAAUGUCUGAUUAAAUGAACAAACUGUUAAAUAUUUUAUAAUGAGGAAAAUUUUACUUAUCCUCUCAAUUUUAAACUGAAACAAAUAUCUUCGUAUUCACUAGAUAAAUAAGGUCAUAUAAACAUCAGCCUUAGGAGUGAAAUUGAGUGAAAAUGCCACAGAAUCAGUUCAGAAUACUGUUGAAAAGUGAAUAUAAAUAGUUUGUUAUUAACUUGCAUUAAAUUU
rnacentral:lncRNA from 1 species